GAUGAACGCUGGCGGCGUGCCUAAUACAUGCAAGUCGAGCGAACAGACGAGGAGCUUGCUCCUCUGACGUUAGCGGCGGACGGGUGAGUAACACGUGGAUAACCUACCUAUAAGACUGGGAUAACUUCGGGAAACCGGAGCUAAUACCGGAUAACAUGUUGAACCGCAUGGUUCAACAGUGAAAGACGGUCUUGCUGUCACUUAUAGAUGGAUCCGCGCCGCAUUAGCUAGUUGGUAAGGUAACGGCUUACCAAGGCAACGAUGCGUAGCCGACCUGAGAGGGUGAACCGCCCAACUGGAACUGAGACACCGUCCAGAACCCUACGGGGGGGCGCCAGUAGGAAUUUUCCGCCAAGGGCGAAAACCUUGCGGAGCCACGGCGCCUGAGUGGUAAAGGUCUUCCGAUCCGAAAACUCUGUUAAUAGGGGAGGAAAAAAUUUUAAAUUAAUGUGGACGGUUUGACGGUAACCUAUCAGAAAGGCCCGGCUAACUUCCUG
rnacentral:rRNA from 1 species